rnacentral:snoRNA from 1 species
CACAAUGAUGUGGUAAUUUGCGUUUGAUUCUACGCGGUGGCUCCCUCGCCGGGGAUGCUAUACCAAAUGGAUACAUGAUAUUCAAUUCUUACAUAUUCUGAGA